rnacentral:rRNA from 1 species
CAACCUUGCGGUCGUGCUCCCCAGGCGGGGUAUUUAAUGCGUUAGCUUCGGCACUGGAGGCAUGGAAACCCCCAACACCUAGUACCCAUCGUUUACGGCUAGGACUACCAGGGUAUCUAAUCCUGUUUGCUCCCCUAGCUUUCGCGCCUCAGCGUCAGAAUCAGUCCAGAGAGCCGCCUUCGCCACCGGUGUUCUUCCCAAUAUCUACGCAUUCCACCGCUACACUGGGAAUUCCACUCUCCUCUACUGAUCUCAAGUCUGGCAGUAUCGGAUGCAGUUCGACCGGUUGAGCCGGUGAAUUUCACAUCUGACUUACCAAACCGCCUGCGCGCCCUUUACGCCCAGUAAUUCCGAACAACGCUUGCUCCCUCCGUAUUACCGCGGCUGCUGGCACGGAGUUAGCCGGAGCUUCCUCUGGUGGUACCGUCAGCCGGCCGGCAUUAUCUACCAACCGGGUUUCUUCCCACCUGACAGAGCUUUACGACCCGAAGGCCUUCAUCGCUCACACGGUGUUGCUGCGUCAGGCUUUCGCCCAUUGCGCAAUAUUCCCUA